rnacentral:tRNA from 1 species
GGCCUCAUAGUUCAGCUGGUAGAACGUGCGCGUGCAAAGCGUAAACGGCGCCUAUGUGUGGGUUUGAAUCCCACCGAGGCUA